rnacentral:rRNA from 1 species
UGGGGAAUAUUGCACAAUGGGCGCAAGCCUGAUGCAGCCAUGCCGCGUGUAUGAAGAAGGCCUUCGGGUUGUAAAGUACUUUCAGCGGGGAGGAAGGUGUUGAGGUUAAUAACCUCAGCAAUUGACGUUACCCGCAGAAGAAGCACCGGCUAACUCCGUGCCAGCAGCCGCGGUAAUACGGAGGGUGCAAGCGUUAAUCGGAAUUACUGGGCGUAAAGCGCACGCAGGCGGUCUGUCAAGUCGGAUGUGAAAUCCCCGGGCUCAACCUGGGAACUGCAUUCGAAACUGGCAGGCUAGAGUCUUGUAGAGGGGGGUAGAAUUCCAGGUGUAGCAGUGAAAUGCGUAGAGAUCUGGAGGAAUACCGGUGGCGAAGGCGGCCCCCUGGACAAAGACUGACGCUCAGGUGCGAAAGCGUGGGGAGCAAACA